rnacentral:misc_RNA from 1 species
UUGAGAUAGUUAUCAAAAUCCUCUGGAAUUGGUUCAACUAUUGAUUCCUCUGUGCUAAAUACACCACCUUCAUCAUUGGGGACAGCUUGUCUAGAAGAAUGCCUAGUUUUCCGCUUACCUGUGGAUGAUAAAGUAGCUCCAUUCUGUCUUGUUUGCCUAGAAGUGGGUGUAGCUCGGCUCUGUUUUGUUCGUUUAGGAGUGGGCGAUAAUUUACUUUUUGUUUGUCUAGGCGUUGAGGAUGUUUUGGCUCCGCUCUUUUUUGUUCGCUUAGGAAUGGGAGAUGAUGUUGCUCCAUUCUGUUUUGCUUGUUUGGGUGUAGAUACUGUACUCCUCCUCCUUUUUCCCCAGCCUGAAUCAAAGUUUUCUUCUUUCUUUUCUUCUUGACCUGCAACUUUUUCAUCCUGCUGAGGGUUCUCCAAAGUAGAGAUGGCAGGUUCCUCUUUUGCUGGAGGUUGAAUUUUGACAGGGAUCUUCCAAGCAAAGGAUGCAAAAAAUGC